rnacentral:misc_RNA from 1 species
AAUGCGAUAAGUAAUGUGAAUUGCAGAAUUCAGUGAAUCAUCGAAUCUUUGAACGCACCUUGCGCUCCUUGGUAUUCCUUGGAGCAUGCCUGUUUGAGUAUCAUGAAAUCUUCAAAGUAAAUCUUUUGUUAACUCAAUUGGUUUCUACUUUGGUAUUGGAGGUCUUUGCAGCUUCACACCUGCUCCUCUUUGUUCAUUAGCUGGAUCUCAGUGUUAUGCUUGGUUCUACUCGGCGUGAUAAGUUAUCUAUCGCUGAGGACACUGUAAAAGGUGGCCAAGGUAAAUGCAGAUGAACCGCUUCUAAUAGUCCAUUGACUUGGACAAUACUUUUAUGAUCUGAUCUCAAAUCAGGUAGGACUACCCGCUGAACUUAAGC